UACGUAGGGUGCGAGCGUUAAUCGGGAUUACUGGGCGUAAAGCGUGCGCAGGCGGUUCGUUGUGUCGGCGGUGAAAGCCCCGGGCUCAACCUGGGAAUGGCCGUUGAAACUGGCGAACUGGAGUGUGGCAGAGGGGGGUGGAAUUCCGCGUGUAGCAGUGAAAUGCGUAGAGAUGCGGAGGAACACCGAUGGCGAAGGCAGCCCCCUGGGCUGACACUGACGCUCAGGCACGAAAGUGUGGGGAUCAAACAGG
rnacentral:rRNA from 1 species